GGCAUUGUACGCUUCUGUCCCGCCAGCAAUUAUCAGGCGCUGCUGGGUAGCAGGCGAGCGAGAGCAGUGAGAAGUAGCCACUUUGCGGCAAUGAGCAAAAAGAUGAGGUAAAAAAACGCUACCAAACGCCAAAUACCGAGCAACAAAUUUUUCCGCAUCACUGCUCUUGUUGGUUAUGGCAAAGUAAUUUGUUGCGCUCACUAUUGCGGGGGCGUAUGAGCAACAUUUUUCUCGUUCAUCAUGCAACUGCUGUAAAUAUAUAUGUGUGCGUUUGUUGGUGGUUUGUGAAGAAAAGCUUGCAAAUUAGGUAUAAAAUGCCAAUUAAUAAUAAUUUGUGGAAAACUCGCGCGUUUUUCUGUUUUUAGUUUGGCUUUUGAUGGUUAAAACUGUCAGCGGGCUGCUUUCGAAGUGUAACAUUUUAUCUGGGUAUGACAAAUUUGUAGCUAAUUUUCACGCAAAUAAAGAAAUACAAGCCAUUGUAAAAUUCAA